UACGUAGGGUGCAGGCGUUAAUCGGAAUUACUGGGCGUAAAGGGUGCGUAGGCGGCCUGUUAAGUCAGUGGUGAAAUCCAACAGCUCAACUGUUGAUGUGCCAAUGAUACUGACAGGCUUGAGUACAGACGAGGUAGGCGGAAUUGACAGUGUAGCGGUGAAAUGCAUAGAUAUUGUCAAGAACACCGAUAGCGAAGGCAGCUUGCUAGCCUGUAACUGACGCUGAGACACGAAAGUGUGGGGAUCAAACAGG
rnacentral:rRNA from 1 species